CGCUGGCGGCAGGCUUAACACAUGCAAGUCGAGCGGAGUGGUUGUGCUUGCACAAUCACUUAGCGGCGGACGGGUGAGUAAUGCUUAGGAAUCUGCCUAUUAGUGGGGGACAACAUUCCGAAAGGAAUGCUAAUACCGCAUACGCCCUACGGGGGAAAGCAGGGGAUCUUCGGACCUUGCGCUAAUAGAUGAGCCUAAGUCGGAUUAGCUAGUUGGUGGGGUAAAGGCCUACCAAGGCGACGAUCUGUAGCGGGUCUGAGAGGAUGAUCCGCCACACUGGGACUGAGACACGGCCCAGACUCCUACGGGAGGCAGCAGUGGGGAAUAUUGGACAAUGGGGGGAACCCUGAUCCAGCCAUGCCGCGUGUGUGAAGAAGGCCUUUUGGUUGUAAAGCACUUUAAGCGAGGAGGAGGCUACUAGUACUAAUACUACUGGAUAGUGGACGUUACUCGCAGAAUAAGCACCGGCUAACUCUGUGCCAGCAGCCGCGGUAAUACAGAGGGUGCGAGCGUUAAUCGGAUUUACUGGGCGUAAAGCGUGCGUAGGCGGCUGAUUAAGUCGGAUGUGAAAUCCCUGAGCUUAACUUAGGAAUUGCAUUCGAUACUGGUCAGCUAGAGUAUGGGAGAGGAUGGUAGAAUUCCAGGUGUAGCGGUGAAAUGCGUAGAGAUCUGGAGGAAUACCGAUGGCGAAGGCAGCCAUCUGGCCUAAUACUGACGCUGAGGUACGAAAGCAUGGGGAGCAAACAGGAUUAGAUACCCUGGUAGUCCAUGCCGUAAACGAUGUCUACUAGCCGUUGGGGCCUUUGAGGCUUUAGUGGCGCAGCUAACGCGAUAAGUAGACCGCCUGGGGAGUACGGUCGCAAGACUAAAACUCAAAUGAAUUGACGGGGGCCCGCACAAGCGGUGGAGCAUGUGGUUUAAUUCGAUGCAACGCGAAGAACCUACCUGGUCUUGA
rnacentral:rRNA from 1 species